UACGUAGGGGGCAAGCGUUGUCCGGAAUCAUUGGGCGUAAAGCGCGUGUAGGCGGUUCAGUAAGUCUGCUGUGAAAGUCCAGGGCUCAACCCUGGGAUGCCGGUGGAUACUGCUGGGCUAGAGUACGGAAGAGGCGAGUGGAAUUCCCGGUGUAGCGGUGAAAUGCGCAGAUAUCGGGGAGGAACACCAAUUGCGAAGGCAGCUCGCUGGGACGUUACUGACGCUGAGACGCGAAAGCGUGGGGAGCAAACAGGG
rnacentral:rRNA from 1 species